ensembl:snRNA U6 U6 spliceosomal RNA
AUGCUCGCUUCAGCAGCACAUAUACUAAAAUUGGAAUGAAACAGAGAAAAUUAACAUGGCCCCUGCGCAAGGAUGGCACGCAAAUUCGUGAAGUGGGCUGGCCUUGU